GAAAAUUUUAUCUUAUUAUGAUUUCUGAAUUUAAAAUAUAAAUAUAAAUACUUAGGUUUUUAUGUGAGUCCUACCAUACAUAUAUAUAUUAUGUAAUAGGCUUAAGUGUCGGCAAAAAUUUUCUGAAAAUUAGCUAUACUAACUUGUGGGAAGCUGCUAUACACUUCCUAUAUAUACACACACGCAGUGAGCCUGCGUAUUGCAGAUUUCCUUCACUAUUAUUUCAAGCUUGCUCAAAAGAAAGAGAAGCUCAGGAUCCACACUAGAGCUUGGCUAUGGCGUCAAUGAAAGAAAAUAAUAAAGAGGAGGAAGAAGUACUAGAGCCGGUGAGCCCAACUGGACACUACUUCAACAGCUCAUUUUUAUCCAUUUCCAUUCUUGGUGUUCUGGAGUCAGCAAUGCCCAUUGAUGACUCGCAUGCUAUGACCUUGCUCAAUAAUGUUUUUCUACCGAUUAACCCACGUUUCUCUUCUAUCAUAGUAUAUAUAUUGCAUCUUCUCUCUGUCUGUAUGUUGUGUGCAUAUCUGCAUUUAUCUGUAUAUGCACCCAUACAUGGUUUAUUAGAACACGCAACUCGGCGCAAGGUGAUAUAUAUGCAUUUUUUUAAAGAAUUAAAAUACAAUGGAUAGAUA
rnacentral:misc_RNA from 1 species